GAGGGCAUAGCUCAAGUGGCAGAGUGCAUGCUUAGCAUGCAUGAGGUCCAGGGUUCAAUCCCCAGCUCCUCCU
rfam:Camelus ferus unplaced genomic scaffold scaffold1254, whole genome shotgun sequence.